rnacentral:lncRNA from 1 species
UGGAAUCUGGGGUCAGGGUAGGAGAUGUGGCCAAAGGAUGCCUCUAAGCCAGGAAAGGGGAGCCAAAGAUAUCAGAGAAACAGCCAAAAAAAAAAAAAAGAGGAGCCUGAAGGCCGGGCAUGGUGGCUCAUGCCUGUAAUCCCAGCACUUUGGGAGGCCAAGGCAGGAGGACCAUUUGAGCCUAGGAGUUUGAGACCAGACUGGGAAAAAAGCCCAUUUCUACAAAAAAUUAAAAACUUAGGUCGGGUGUGGUGGCUCACACCUGUAAUCCCAGCACUUUGGGAGGCUGAGGCGGGCAGAUCAUGAGGUCAGGAGUUCGAGACCAGCCUGGCCAACAUGGUGAAACCCCAUCUCUACUAAAAAUACAAAAAAUUAGCCAGGCAUGGUGGCAGGUGCCUGUAAUCCCAGCUACUCGGGAGGCUGAAGUAGGAGAAUUGCUCGAACCUGGGAGGAAAAGGUUGCCAUGAGCUGCGAUUGCGCCACUGCACUCCAGCCUGGGCAACAGAGCGAGACUGCGUCUCAAACAAAACAAAACAAACAAAAAACUUAGCUAGGCAUGGUGGCAUGUGCCUGUAGUCCCAGCUACUCAGGAGGCUGAGGCAGGAGGAUCGCUUGAACCUGGGAGGCUGAGGCUGUAGUGAGCUGAGAUCAUGCCACUGCCCUCCAGCCUGGGUGACAAAGCAAGACUCUGUCUCAAAAACAAAAACCAAAAAACCAAACAAGAAGAGCUUGCUCAUGCAUUUGUUCCUUCAGUAGACACAAACCAAACUGCUUCACACCCCUGAGCUUUCUGAAUGCUGCUUUCUCUUCCUGGUUUUCUUUCCCCUUCCCAUGCAACUAACUGCCAGGUAUUGCAUUGUCAGGGGGCAUCUGGACUCCUCAGGAUGGACUGGACACCUCUGCUGUGCUCCCACAUAUCCCUUGGGCUUUCCCUUUAUCUUAGCACACGGUCCCUACAUUGUCCUUGAGUGUGUAUUCAUCCCUCUCCCCUACUAGCCUCUAAGUUCUGGAGAAGCAAAAAUCAUCCAAUUCUUCUCUGUGUCCAUAGUGCCCAGCCUAGAGCUGGGUUCACAGUAGGCACCUGAAUCCUGAAUGAAUAAAUGAGUAAAUGAAUGGCCCAUCAUUCGGAUGGACAGAAUAUCAGAAGGAUAAGGAGAAGUGGGCAGAAUAGACGUGAUUUUUCGGCCAGAUGUGGUGGCUCACGCCUAUAAUCCCAGCAUUCUGGCGGGCUGAAGCAGGCAGAACGCUUGAGCCCAGGAGUUUGAGACAAGGCUGGGCAACAUAGCAAGACUCCAUCUUGCUAUGUUGCCCAGAUUUUUCAGGGCCGGGUGUGGUGGCUCACGCCUGUAAUCCCAGCACUUUGGGAGGCCGAGGCAGGUGGAUCACGAGGUCAGGAGAUCGAGACCAUCCUGGCUAACACGGUGAAACCCUGUCUCUACUAAAAACACAAAAAAUAUGCUGGGCGUUGUGGCGGGCGCCUGUAGUUCCAGCUGCUCGGGAGGCUGAGGCAGGAGAAUGGCGUGAACCCGGAAGGUAGAGCUUGCAGUGAGCCGAGAUGAUGCCACUGCACUCCGGCCUGGGCAACAGAGUGAGACUUUGUCUCCAAAAAAAAAAAAAAAAAGAUUUUUCUCUAUACCUCCUAUGAUACCUUUUCCAAACUGCUUUUAUACAUAUAUUAACUCAUUUCUCUCUGAAUAAAGUCCCCAUUUUACAGAUGGGGACAUCAAAGCCUUGGACCAGGAAUAAGAGUGGAUGAUAGAAUAGAGAUGAGAAUCGAGGCCUGGAAGUGACUCACUUGCCUACCUGUUUUUGUGUAUGGGGUCUUACCUGGGGCUGGCGGUACCAGUAGAGCGUGUGUCCCUUGAGCACAAACCAGCGGCGGCGCCAGCGCGGGCCCAUGAAGCCGCCCGGUGCCUUUCGCAACAGGAGCCAGCCGUCACAGUCCGGCCGGCCCAGCUCACGGCAUGACACCCGCCGGCGGCUCAGCCGGGUCGCCAGGCCUGUAGCAGCACAGCACAAGCUGGGCAGUGAGGGGCUGGCAAGGUGCCCCCGCUAAACCUACUCCCUGCCUUCCACAAGCAUCCCCAAGUGAGAUCUCUGAACCCACACUCUGCUCAGAAUGCUACAUGUGUCAUCUCUGAGGUGGGAUGACCCUUCUUAUUUUAGAGAUGAGCAAACUGAAGACUAGAGGCCCAGACUGGGAGCACAGCUCUGUCUGACCCUAGAAACAGAGCUGUUUCCAGGAGAGGCUGUGUGGGAAGGAUGGGGGUGGUCUUGCCCAGCAUGUAAAGAUUUUUAACAGCUCCUCAAACAGGGGAACCCCCACCUAGUCCAGCGCACCUCAUACCUUUUGAUUUCUUCCGACCAACAGGACUCUGAAAGGACAGCAGAAGGGUGAGAGAAGGAUCUAGGUCCAGACCCACCCACCCCCUUGCUAAGCCCCUGAGCUUACCUUGUCAGGGGAUUCAGGGAGCCCUGGAGUCCCUGCUACCCCUGCUGGGAGUAUGGCUGGGGGUUCCGGGGGGAUGGGCAGGGGCUCAGGGCCAAGGGAGGCAGAGUCUGUCAGGGAGGGAGGAGAGAGAGGGAAAGUCUAUGAGCCCAGUCCCAGGCUUGGGGUCAGAACUGGGUGCCCAGAUGCCGUGUCCGGGGCAUCCAUGGAGCUUUGAGACUACCUGUCCAGGCAGGGCUGGGUCCGGGACUGGGGUUUGAAGACAGGUCAAAGGCAAAGACGUCUUCAGAUGGGGCCCUGGGGAGGGCAAGGGGGAUGAGAUGAGCCCACGGUCUCCCCACCAAGACACACCUGGACAGAGCCUGUUACCUGGGAGACAGUGGGGCCAGAGACAGUGAUGGGCUCCUCUGGUGCGGGGAGUCCAGGACCUGAGGGGGCGUCUGGGGAACAACCAGGAACAAAGCAAUGGAGACAGGGGUCUGAAAGCAGGUUGGGGGGCAACAGGGGUAGGGGAGCAGCAGGAGCAGGUACCUGUGGGGGGGUCUGAAGGGAGCUAGGGGGGCGCAGCAGGGGAAGGUGCCUGUUGGGGGGGGUCUGAAGGCAGGUGUGGGGGUGGUGGGGGCAGGUACCUGUGGAGGGGGGGGUCUGAAGGCAGGUCGGGGGGCGGCAGGGGAAGGUACCUGUGGGGGGGUCUCCGGUAUCGGGAUCUUCUUCAGCACUAAGCUGAGUCCGGCUGGCUCCCGCAGCAGUUCCCUCACCAUGUUCUUACGGGGCCAUCCCACCUGGGGGACAGAAACACUGGCUGGUAUCAACCUGGGCAGGAGGCUCUAAAGCAACCACCAACUCUCACCCUCGUGCUGGGAGCUCUCUCUCAGCCUCCCACUUCUGCCUCCCACUCAUGCAGCCUCCUGGGGGCUUCCAUGGGCCCCAUCACCUGGGCUCUGCAGAGGAUGCUCUCACCAGACUUAGCUGGCUCAUCUCCUGGAAGGCAGCUCCCACAACCCUGGUCAGAACCCUUGGUUGCCUCCC